UACAUGGGGUGCAAACGUUGCUCGGAAUUACUGGGCGUAAAGCGCGUGUAGGCGGCUCGGCAAGUCGGGUGUGAAAGCCCUGGGCUUAACCUAGGAAGUGCACUCGAAACUGCCAAGCUUGAGUUCUGGAGAGGAAGGCGGAAUUCUCGGUGUAGAGGUGAAAUUCGUAGAUAUCGAGAGGAACACCGGUGGCGAAGGCGGCCUUCUGGACAGCAACUGACGCUGAGACGCGAAAGCGUGGGGAGCAAACAGG
rnacentral:rRNA from 1 species